rnacentral:rRNA from 1 species
GAUACCAGCUUGCUGGUAGGCGUCGAGCGGCGGACGGGUGAGUAACACUUAGGAAUCUACCUAGUAGUGGGGGAUAGCUCGGGGAAACUCGAAUUAAUACCGCAUACGACCUACGGGAGAAAGGGGGCAACUUGUUGCUCUCGCUAUUAGAUGAGCCUAAGUCGGAUUAGCUAGUUGGUGGGGUAAAGGCCUACCAAGGCGACGAUCUGUAGCUGGUCUGAGAGGAUGAUCAGCCACACCGGGACUGAGACACGGCCCGGACUCCUACGGGAGGCAGCAGUGGGGAAUAUUGGACAAUGGGGGCAACCCUGAUCCAGCCAUGCCGCGUGUGUGAAGAAGGCCUUUUGGUUGUAAAGCACUUUAAGCAGUGAAGAAGACCUAACGGUUAAUACCCGUUAGCGAUGACAUUAGCUGCAGAAUAAGCACCGGCUAACUCUGUGCCAGCAGCCGCGGUAAUACAGAGGGUGCAAGCGUUAAUCGGAAUUACUGGGCGUAAAGCGAGCGUAGGUGGCUUGAUAAGUCAGAUGUGAAAUCCCCGGGCUUAACCUGGGAACUGCAUCUGAUACUGUUAGGCUAGAAUAGGUGAGAGGAAGGU